rnacentral:rRNA from 1 species
AUUGAACGCUGGCGGCAGGCCUAACACAUGCAAGUCGAACGAGUGGCGGACGGGUGAGUAAUGUCUGUGAAACUGCCUGAUGGCGGGGGAUAACUACUGGAAACGGUAGCUAAUAUCCCAUACCAUCGGAGGUGCCCAGAUGGGAUUGGCUCGUGGGUGGGGUAAAGGCUCACCUAGGCGACGAUCCCUAGCUGGUCUGAGAGGAUGACCAGCCACACUGGAACUGAGACACGGUCCAGACUCCUACGGGAGGCAGCAGUGGGGAAUAUUGCACAAUGGGCGCAAGCCUGAUGCAGCCAUGCCGCGUGUAUGAAGAAGGCCUUCGGGUUGUAAAGUACUUUCAGCGGGGAGGCGUUACCCGCAGAAGAAGCACCGGCUAACUCCGUGCCAGCCGCCGCGGUAAUUC